UUACAGUUAAAAGAAUAGGUAAAAAAAAAAAAAAAAAAAAGAAUAGGUCAAACACAGGAUUAUGGAGAACAAUUUAAGAACCAACCAGAUUUAUCGGAGUUGACAUUUUGCUACAGAUGCUUGAGGUCUGCCUGCCUCUUCUGAAAUAGAAUGCUACAGAAACAAUUCCUUCUCUCCUUCCUCCUUGUGGUCUCCUUUCCAAGGCUGCCCCCAUCCUGAAUGGUGCCGCAUGCAUUUGCAUGUCACUCUACUGUUACGCACAAGAAUGCAUCUUAUAUUACAGCCAUCAUCAUCUCUGUGCUUUGGAAGAACUUGUGUGAAUAGUUUUCUCCUGCAUGUGCCCAUUUGAGGCUCACUUCUGAAGGAUGCCCCGGACUGCUUCGGCUCUCCUGAAUGUUUCACUCCUCUGGUUGGGCCUGGAUCAUCUCAUGAAGAAUACGGGGAGCAUCCAGGACAUUAGCAGUUCCUACUGCAGCAAGGGCUGCAGGCUUGCACAGUGCCGGUGACUGCGAUUCCCGGAGAGAGGCAGAAAGCAGGGACUAACCUCGUGCGUGGUCUGAGUUGCAUGCACACCUACCGCCCAGGAGGGUUCUGAGAGCUCACGUCCCCCGACAGCCUGGAACUGGAGUCCAGCCAUUUCACAGAAGGAAACCAGGCCCAGAGAAGAGAAUGAUUUUCUUAAGGCCACACUUCCAGACAUUGGUAAAGCAGGGACCAGACAAGACAGCUCAGGACUCAGCACCACCGUGGCCCCAGCGCCCUGGUGGGGUUUUUCCUGCCCUGUUCAUCCAGCAAACAGGCCACCAUCAAUUUGGUGAUUUUCUUGCCUCUGCUCUCCCAGCAAACUGUGACCGCCCACGCCUGACACCGGCGGCCGCCGGGACUCCCGCGCCUCCCGCCUCUGGGUGAGUUGGCUCGGAGCGCCCUCCGGCGGCCGGCAGGGAGCAGCAUUCUGAUUCCCGAUCGGAGCUGCAAAGCCGUUGCAGCCAAAGAGCUGGGGUCGAGCGAGGCCCUUCCACCGGUUCGUUUUCAUGGGGACAAUGUCACAGUCAUCUGCAACUGUCAUCUAGUUUCCAGGCAAAAGACAGGAAGGUAGCAGAAUUGUCUUGAAUCUCAUCUUGACUUUGGUUGGCCCCAGCUGGAUCAUCUUGGGCAAAUCACUUCACCUCUCUGAGGCUCAGUUUCCUUGUCUGUUAAGUGGACACGCUGCUUUAUAAGGUGAUCGUGAAGAUUGGGCAAGAUAGUACCUACUACCUCCCUAAUGCAGAGCCUUGGCAAAGGAGAACUGUUAUUAAGAGAAGCUCCCCGAUUAUUUGAAACACGUUUGAUCUAUUUGGAUUCGUUACUGAAAUCCACAAUGCCUGAUAGGUAGCUCACCUAGAGAAUCACAGGGCAUUAGUAGGAAAAAAUGUAGUUCCCGAAUUUGUAGCAUGCUCGGGCUGCUAUAACAAAAUACCAUAUACUGAAUGGCUUAAACAAUAGAAAUUUAUGUCUCACAGUUCUGGGGAUGCAAAGUCCAAGAUCUAGGUCCAGGAGGGUUUGUUGAUGGUGAGGGAUCUCUUCCUGGCUUGUAGAGGCCAACUCUUCACCAUGUCAGGGAUGCAAAGAGAGGGAGAGAGGAGCUCCCUGGUGUUUCUUCUUCUGAGGGUACUAAUCCCAUCACAAGACCUUCACCCUCAAACUUCACCUAAAACUAUCUCCCAAAGGUUCCUACUCCUAAAACUAUCAGUGGGGGCUAGGGCUUUACCCUAUGAAUUUUGAAGGACAUAACUCAUUGUCACCUCCAGCCCAAGCCUUGGCAUCCCCUGAGGUGCCCCCAUGCCACCCUGGGCUUCUGGGAACAGGGAAAUGGGACUUGGAGACUAUUAUUCUGAGAUCUUCCUGACCUUCCUCAGCAGCUAAGUACCAUCUUUUAGGUCUAAGAUGGUGAUCGUUAAGAGCUGGGUAAUUACUGGGCACCCUAUCCUGACAAAGGUGAACAUGUUUUCAGGAACUUGGACUCAUUAGACCUCACAACAAGACUUCGCUAAAGUGGCUCUGAGCACUACAGGGCCACACAGAGGAGAGCAGAUGGGGCCGAGGCUCCAGAAAGUCGCUGAGCCAGUGGUUAGCCCCAACAUUCCCCUUCAGGCUAGUCUGUCUCCCGUUCCACCUCCCUCUCAGGCCCUCCAGGCUCUGAGGGUCUGUCCCUCCACAGGCAGCUGCUGGCCAGUCGCCCAGGGGCCAUGCCGCUCACCGGUCAGCAUCACCGCCGGCAGUUGGCUCCCUGGAGACCGUCAGUUAAACCGACAAAGCCUCUGUCAGACUCCGCAGGGCGUCGCGCCAUCUGCCGCUCCAGGCUCAGCCAGGAGAGCAGUUCCUGGAACGUUCGGGCUCAGGGAGGCGGCCAACAGUCACAGGGUCGGCCCCGCAGGGACAGGGCGUAUACACGGGUUGCCCUGGGCCUGCAGACGCGCAGGUCCCUUGCUGCUGGCGGUGGCCAGAGGAGGAGGUGAGGAUGGGGGAGCCGCCAUCUGCCCAGUAAGAGGUGACAGCGCGCAGCGGGGCUGGGCAGGCUGACAGGCCUCCGGGCUCAGGCCCACCUCCGGGGGCUGGACUCCCUCCUGCGCCCCGCUCCAGGCCUCCUUGAGAGCACACCGGGGACAGGCUGGGACCCGGAGGAGGUGGGGGCUGGGGCUCGGACCCAGGGAUUAGGCCAGGAUCCUGGGAUCCCACCUGUCGGGGUGGACACGGAGCCGACAGUUUCCCGGGCUGCUCAGAAGAAUCGGAUCCCGGGCACUCAGCUCACGGGGACGUUUCUGCUCAGCGCGUGCCCACAAACGCGUGGCCGUAAGUGUGCAUUCACGGGGUGGCAGACACGCCGACCACGCCCCCUUCGGACACCGCCCUCCUCCUCCCUGCAGCCCCAGAGCAGAAGGAGGCCGCUGGAGUGGCUGGCUGCUGACCCGCUCCUGGGGACGAGGACGGGAGGCCAGCCCCCUCCCCCGCACCCCCCCCCAGCUCGGCCAGGCCAGGACAGAGCCCCAGCUCACCAGCUGCCGCAGGGACACGGCCACACCCGGGGCCACACCCGGAGCCGGAGCCGGAGCCGGAGCCAGAGCCCGAGCCCGGCUGAGCAGCCGGGCUGAGAGGUCAGAGCAGGUGAGGGGCCCAAGGACCCGCUCACCACCUGCACACACUCCCGGGCUCCCGCAGGUUCCCAGCACCUUCCUCCAGGCUCCUCCGAGGUCUCUAGUGCACAGGGAAGGCCUGAAGCAGCCCCCGAGCUCCUCCCCCUGCAGACAGGCAGCUCCUUCGGCUCUCACCCCCUUCUCCCCCCUAUAAAACCCUGAUCUCCACCUUCCCAGGCUCGCCCCACGCUGUACAGCCUCCCCACCUGCCCACCUGGGCUCUGGCCCUGCACGUCCAACAGGAAGGAGGUCCCUGGCUUUCCUGCCCCGUAGGGACCCAGGGUCAUGGAAACGAGGCGAAAUUUCCAUGACCCUGUUGACGGUGACAUUAUUUUGUAUAUGCCCCCCACGCUUGACAACAGCCUCUAAGCAGACACACCAGUCAGCAGGUCGUCCUCCGAGCCGAGCUUGUGCUCGCUGCUGAUUCUGCGCCAGCUGGUGUUUGACCGUGCUGCGGGCGUCAAGUGGUCAGACUCCCGGAAGGACCGCCAGGUGGAGAGAUGCCGGAGGCCGGGCCCACGGGACCCUGCGCGCAUCCCCGGCCCUGGCCACCCUGCCGGGGCCGGGAGGAAACCCGGGGCUGGCCGCGAGGCCUGCCCUCCCCCCACCCGCCCUGUCCACCCCGGCCUCCCGCUCUGAGCAGGACACGAGGCACACGGUUCUGAGAACCGACAGGCAGUGAGGACGAUCAAAGCGCUUGGGCCUUUCACUCUCUCCUUUUGCCAUUUCCAGGCCGGCGUGGACCGGGGUUGCGAGCUGAUGCAGCGGCCGCAGGUGGCCCCGUGGGCGGCUUCCUCCCCCCACAGCAUGACCCAAGCCCCUCCCGUCCCCUCAGGUUCACUUUUCCGCCUGGACGGAGCCUGGGAGAGCACAGGUGCCUCCCCGCGGCCCCACUGGGGCCAGGACAGGCCUCGGCGGACCCUGGAGAGACUCUGCGCCCCUGGCUUCCCGGGCCCCUUGUGCCCCGCGGGGCUCCCUCUCGCUGCCCUCCUGGUCUCGGCCCUCACGUCUGCCAGGCCAGGGCCUGGACUCAGAGGCCUGGAGCCUGCCCGCAGCCUCCGCCGGGCCAGCUGGGUCCGCGUCCUCGCCUCUCGGGCCUCCGCCUGCGCCGCCUCCUGAGUGGCCCCGGGAGAGCCUGAGAGCAGGGCAGACAGCGGGAGGGGCAGCCCAGGGACAGGACUCACCGGGGACUGCCCCCCGGGCUGCGGGCAAGGGUGAGCGCCGCGUGGUGCCUUUGCUGCGCCCCCCCCCCCCCCCCCGGAGCCACCUGGAGAACCUACCCCACCAACGACUGUGCAGGGAUCGGGCCAGCACCUGGGGCUCUGCGCCAGGGCCGCUCCUCACUGGGAUUCGCUGCCAAGAGACACGCGGAGCACCGCGGCCUCCCAGACCUUGGCCAUCCGUGCACACCUCAGGCCUCCAUCCAGGGGCUCAGUGAGGCCAAGGCCAGAGCUUGCUCAGCAGCCACCCAGGGAGCCACGUUUCAUUCCCUCUGGACUUCCCACGCCCGAGGCCUGUGGACGUGGCUAGUGGGGCCACUUCCCGAGGAGGACUCUCUAGGUGAGGUGAUUGGUGCUCCUUUCGGGUGUGUUUCCCAUUACUGAAAACAAACGUAUGUGACUGUUUCGGGUACCCUCACCUUGUAAUCAUGUUAUCACCUGGGGGGCGGGGAGUGAAGUCCCAAGUUCAAUGCUAAGCCCGUGUCUCUCUCGAGAAGGGAAGGAGGUCCUUGCAGGUGGGACAUGAUUGGGGGCACCGGGGACCUCGCCAGGGUUGGUGCGUGCGUGGCCCAAGCCUGAAUUUGGGUUUGAGGACCUCUCUCUGGAAGGGUUUCAUGACCAGAUGGUCCUGGAGAUGGCAGCACGGGUUUUGGUCUUCAAAGCAUUUCUCUUACUGGGCCAUGACUCUUCUCGUUUAUUCUCUGUUCUCUUCCGUUCCGUCGUCUUUGGGGCUCAUUUGCUGGUUGUUCACAGGGUGUUACAGAGUAAUCCCCUUCCAGGGACCCCUAUGCCCUGAGAGCUUAUGCUGGCCUCCUCCCAUUCUUUCUGGUAUCUGCUCCUUUGGAGGGGCCAUGCUGUUGUUUUCUAAAGAUUCCCUGCUGGCUUUUCCUUUUUUCAUAAUCUGAUCAUCUUUAACACUCUCCCUUUUUAUUGUCCCUGUUUUUUUCUGGUGACAUUUUUUUGAGUUUUUACCAGAUCCAUCAUUGAUCCCCUGUUAUCGUUGGCUUACAGUUUCAAAAGAAAAAUAUGGUCAUAAUGGGCUCCGCUGAGACUUCAAAAAAAUAAACCUGGUAUAGGUCUGUGAGCUUGGAUUGGGUCGCCAGUACCAAUCCAAUCUUUAUCCUCCUGUCUGUAGCUUAAUCUUCUAAGGUUAUGGUGACAGUUUAGUGUUUUGGUUCCAAAGGGCCAAACGAGUCAGAGCUGGCAUAGGCACUUCCUGUAGAAGACUCGUUUUCUCAUGUCCUUUCAUAUUUUCCAGGAAAAAUGGACUUCAUUUAUUUCACUUACUGAUGUUUCAAUUCCUUUCUUGUAAGUGCCUUGCUGAUUAGGGAGUGUCACUAAGUAGUUGUCAUCCAAGGUCCAAGGAAUGGCCAGUGAGACGUGAACCUCCCCUAUAGCGGGUUUGUUACUGGUUUGUUGGGCUUUACAGGCAGUGACCUGCCACCUUCCUCAUCCCUAUAGUGUCUCAUCAUCUUGAAGUAGCCAUUCCCCCCAGCUAUGUCCCACUGCCCCAGUGGUACCAGGUGGACUCAUAAAUAAGAGCUGAGUUUGUAGGAUGUCAGAAAGAAAUGUGGCAGAAGAAGUGCAGGGACUGGAGAAUCUCUGUGCCCAGACUUCUUUAUGUCUUGUCCCCAGGGGUUUUAUCUCCUCUCAGUGAUGACCUGGCCACAGCCAGCUCCUACUGUAAUUGGAUCUCAGUGAGACCUUUGCAUCCCCCCAUUCCUUCCCACUGUGACUCAUCCACAGUCACCUCCCUGAUCUGCUUGCUCUCUGAGUCCAUGCUGCAGAGGGAACCAUCCUGACAUUGUUCCUUGUCUUCUUUCAUCUUGGCCUGUCUCCCACUGCAUCCUACCUGUUCACUGUUCCCUAUGGAGUCAGAAAUGUCCCAUGCUUUAGAGGUUAAAAAAAAAAAAGGAUUCAGAAAGAGUGGUCUUCACAAGUUGAGGUAAGACCUCAUUCCAGAGCUUAGUAAUACUGGGCAGCCUC